ACAGAUUAGUGAUUGGAUAUCAGAUUAAUAGAAAUGUUGUUUGUAGCUGAAAUUCCAGCAGGUUUAAGCUUGUUUAGUCUACAAAAACAGCAGCAGUACCUCAUGUUUACAUGUUUAUUAAAAUGACAACAGAUUUGAGUAUUUUCUCAGUCUGUGCUUGUUAUGUGUUCAUACAGGUGGGAAUGAGGGAGGAGGAAAUCAGAAGGAGCAGAGACGAGAUGCCCCUCGGCAAAAUACCAUCAAGAGCCCCAUCUCCACAGGGAAGCGUUUUUCGCUUUGGAGCAGACUCAGCAGGAGGUGGUGGUGGUGGUGGUGGAGGACGAGUCAUGAAGGCCCGGGUGGCCCACCAGCCUGCUGGAUCCAACCCCACAUUGCUGACCUUCAACAGGGGACAGAUAAUUAAUGUGCUGGUCCAACAGCCCAGGAACGGCUGGCUGUUUGGACGUGCCGACAACAGCCCACGUCAAGGAUGGUUUCCCGCCUCAUUUGUGGAAGCAGUGGACGAUCCACCAGUGUCACCCGCCCCCAGGUAA
rnacentral:lncRNA from 1 species